UACGGAGGGUGCAAGCGUUAUCCGGAUUCACUGGGUUUAAAGGGUGCGUAGGCGGGUUGGUAAGUCCGUGGUGAAAUCUCCGAGCUUAACUCGGAAACUGCCGUGGAUACUAUCAAUCUUGAAUAUCGUGGAGGUAAGCGGAAUAUGUCAUGUAGCGGUGAAAUGCUUAGAGAUGACAUAGAACACCAAUUGCGUAGGCAGCUUACUACACGAUCAUUGACGCUGAGGCACGAAAGCGUGGGGAGCAAACGGG
rnacentral:rRNA from 1 species